UACGGAGGGUGCAAGCGUUAUCCGGAUUCACUGGGUUUAAAGGGUGCGUAGGUGGCCUGUUAAGUCAGGGGUGAAAGACGGUAGCUUAACUAUCGCAGUGCCCUUGAUACUGAUGGGCUUGAAUGAACUAGAGGUAGGCGGAAUGUGACAAGUAGCGGUGAAAUGCAUAGAUAUGUCACAGAACACCAAUUGCGAAGGCAGCUUACUAUGGUUUUAUUGACACUGAGGCACGGAAGCGUGGGGAUCAAACAGG
rnacentral:rRNA from 1 species